rnacentral:misc_RNA from 1 species
UUUCCGUAGGUGAACCUGCGGAAGGAUCAUUAUUGUAUAACCGAGGUGCGAGGGCUGUCGCUGACCCGAAAGGUCGUGCACGCCCGAGUGCCCUCACACACAUCCAUCUCACCCCUAUGUGCACCACCGCGUGGGUCCCCCUUUGGCUUGUUCGGAGGGGGGCUUACGUUUUCACACAAACUUUGUAUGCAGUGUAGAAUGUAUUUUUUGUUUUUGCGAUCACGCAAUCAAUACAACUUUCAACAACGGAUCUCUUGGCUCUCGCUCGAUGAAGAACGCAGC